UACGUAGGGUGCGAGCGUUGUCCGGAAUUAUUGGGCGUAAAGAGCUCGUAGGCGGUCUGUCGCGUCGGUCGUGAAAACUUGGGGCUUAACCCCGAGCUUGCGGUCGAUACGGGCAUGACUGGAGUUCGGCAGGGGAGACUGGAAUUCCUGGUGUAGCGGUGGAAUGCGCAGAUAUCAGGAGGAACACCGAUGGCGAAGGCAGGUCUCUGGGCCACUACUGACGCUGAGAAGCGAAAGCAUGGGGAGCGAACAGG
rnacentral:rRNA from 1 species